rnacentral:rRNA from 1 species
UAGGGAAUCUUCGGCAAUGGACGGAAGUCUGACCGAGCAACGCCGCGUGAGUGAAGAAGGUUUUCGGAUCGUAAAGCUCUGUUGUUAGAGAAGAACGUUGGUAGGAGUGGAAAAUCUACCAAGUGACGGUAACUAACCAGAAAGGGACGGCUAACUACGUGCCAGCAGCCGCGGUAAUACGUAGGUCCCGAGCGUUGUCCGGAUUUAUUGGGCGUAAAGCGAGCGCAGGCGGUUCUUUAAGUCUGAAGUUAAAGGCAGUGGCUUAACCGUUGUACGCUUUGGAAACUGGAGGACUUGAGUGCAGAAGGGGAGGGUGGAAUUCCAUGUGUAGCGGUGAAAUGCGUAGAUAUAUGGAGGAACACCGGUGGCGAAAGCGGCUCUCUGGUCUGUAACUGACGCUGAGGCUCGAAAGCGUGGGGAGCAAACAGG